UAUCACCCUUUGGAAAAAUGUCUGUCUUCUAUUGUUUUUUUUUUUGUGUUUGGAUUAUAGGAUCACAAUCAUCAGCACUAAAUACUAGCAGCUGAAGAGGAUUAAACAGAUACAUGAAUAGGAAAUGAGAAUGCAACGGCAAAUAUGAAAGGAAGAGCAGAGAUGGUAGUAAAAGUGGAGGGACUACCAUUGGAGUGAUGCCGCAGCAUGCGUCGGAGUUUCCCGAGGGCUCGCGUGAGGUUCUCCAGCUGGUCGUGAAGAUGGAUGUUCUCCUCUAAGAGCUCGUGGAUGGUGUCCUGAAGCUCAAAGGCGUCUCCCGUUAACUGCAUCAGCACGUGCACAGUAAGGAGGGCAAGUGGUCCUGACAGCCUCAUGCAAAGGGAGGGGAGUGCGAUGAAUGGAAAGCUGCCUGCGGGCAUGAUGCAAAAAUCCAUCCUGUGCUUUGACAUGUGAAGCUGAUGCACAUGAAGGAGUGUUUUCCAACAAUUGCUGAGCCAAGGGGCAUGAUUUUGAA